rnacentral:rRNA from 1 species
UACGUAGGGUGCGAGCGUUAAUCGGAAUUACUGGGCGUAAAGCGUGCGCAGGCGGCGCGUUAAGACAGGUGUGAAAGCCCCGAGCUUAACUUGGGAAUUGCGCUUGUGACUGGCGGGCUGGAGUGUGGCAGAGGAGACUGGAAUUCCUGGUGUAGCAGUGAAAUGCGUAGAUAUCAGGAGGAACACCGAUGGCGAAGGCAGGUCUCUGGGCUGACACUGACGCUCAUGCACGAAAGCGUGGGGAGCAAACAGG